GUCUACAACCAUACCUUCCUGAAUGUGUCCAAUCUCGUCUAAUCUGGGAAGCUAAGAGUAUCAGGUCUGGUUAGUACUUGGAUGAUGGAACUCUGCCUGGGAAUACUAGGUGCCUUAGGCU
ensembl:rRNA 5S_rRNA 5S ribosomal RNA